rnacentral:rRNA from 1 species
CAACAGGGAUUGCCCCAGUAACGGCGAGUGAAGCGGCAACAGCUCAAAUUUGAAAUCUGGCCCCUAGGGUCCGAGUUGUAAUUUGCAGAGGAUGAUUUUGGCGAGGUGCCUUCCGAGUUCCCUGGAACGGGACGCCACAGAGGGUGAGAGCCCCGUCUGGUUGGACGCCGAGCCUAUGUAAAUCUCCUUCGACGAGUCGAGUAGUUUGGGAAUGCUGCUCUAAAUGGGAGGUAUAUGUCUUCUAAAGCUAAAUAUUGGCCAGAGACCGAUAGCGCACAAGUAGAGUGAUCGAAAGAUGAAAAGCACUUUGAAAAGAGGGUUAAAUAGUACGUGAAAUUGUUGAAAGGGAAGCGCUCAUGACCAGACUUGGGCCCGGUGAAUCAUCCAGCGUUCUCGCUGGUGCACUUUGCCGGGCACAGGCCAGCAUCAGUUUGCCCCGGGGGAUAAAGGCUUUGGGAAUGUGGCUCCUCCGGGAGUGUUAUAGCCCAUUGCAUAAUAUCCUGGGGCGGACUGAGGUUCGCGCAUCUGCAAGGAUGCUGGCGUAAUGGUCAUCAGCGACCCGUCUUGAAACACGGACCAAGGAGUCGUCUUCGUAUGCGAGUGUUCGGGUGUAAAACCCCUACGCGUAAUGAAAGUGAACGCAGGUGAGAGCUUCGGCGCAUCAUCGACCGAUCCUGAUGUUCUCGGAUGGAUUUGAGUAAGAGCAUACGGGGCCGGACCCGAAAGAAGGUGAACUAUGCCUGUAUAGGGUGAAGCCAGAGGAAACUCUGGUGGAGGCUCGCAGCGGUUCUGACGUGCAAAUCGAUCGUCAAAUAUGGGCAUGGGGGCGAAAGACUAAUCGAA